UACGGAGGGUGCAAGCGUUAAUCGGAAUUACUGGGCGUAAAGCGCACGCAGGCGGUCUGUCAAGUCGGAUGUGAAAUCCCCGGGCCCAACCUGGGAACUGCAUUCGAAACUGGCAGGCUAGAGUCUUGUAGAGGGGGGUAGAAUUCCAGGUGUAGCGGUGAAAUGCGUAGAGAUCUGGAGGAAUACCGGUGGCGAAGGCGGCCCCCUGGACAAAGACUGACGCUCAGGUGCGAAAGCGUGGGGAGCAAACAGG
rnacentral:rRNA from 1 species